GGAAGGAUCAUUACCACCUAUUCAUCCGGGGCUGAGCAAUCAGCACCGGUGAAUUAUCAACCAACCGUGAACCAUAACUGACACAGCAUUCAGUGAAGUGUUGCUUGGGAGCCAAUAUGUGGGUCGAAUGGUGCGCAAGCAUCAUUGGUCAGCUCUUGGCAACAGAAACCUUUCACGAGGUUUCAGCUUCACUGUCUUCUGUUCCGACCUUCGUCGGCCUGCCUCUAUGGCUGGCGUUGGUCCCGUUUCAAUAACCCCAUCUAUUGUAUACUUUGUAUAUCUGAUCUUAACCACAUUGACAUUGUCGAUUUGGUGUAUUCUUAACAAAAUACAACUCUUAGCAAUGGAUAUCUUGGUUCCCUUACCGAUGAAGAACGCAGCGAAAUGCGAUACGUAAUGCGAAUUGCAGAAUUCAGUGAAUCAUCAAAUCUUUGAACGCAACUUGCGCUCUCGGUUAGCCCUGAGAGCACGUUUCUCUGAGUGUCGUUUCCAUCCCUCUCAGUCUCUGGCUGGGGAAUAUGAGAGUGACUCUCACGAGUCUCUCUUUAAAUACGUGGAGUUCGGAUGCGAUUACCAUCGAGAUUGGUAUUCAGUGUCUGAUUAGUGACGUGGGUAAUUGUAGAGUUUUCCUUCGGGACUACUCACAACAAACGCUUGCGUCAAUGCUAAUCUUUCAUUGUAAUACUGCUCGGCUAAGUGGUAAUCACUUUGUCAUCUUGAACGUUGGAAAUUGACUUUCUGCCUUUUCUUUUGUUGUUUACUUGUUUGUCAUCUUUUUGACAAGGAAUACUAACAGCAAUCUAAAAGACACGAAUCUUCUGAUUCGACCUCAGAUGAAGCGAGGCUACCCCCUGAAUUUAAGCAUAUUAUUAAGGGGAGGAGAAGAAACUAACUAGGAUUCCCUCAGUAACGGCGAGUGAAGCGGGAAUAGCUCAAGAUUGUAACCGGUUUCCUUUGGUCUCCGGGUUGUAAUCUUCGGACGCUCAGUCAGCGUGUGAGCCGGGUCUAAGUCUCUUGGAAAAGGGCAUCAGAGAGGGUGACAAUCCCGUCUUUGGUCCGGACUUCGCCGCGUACGACGGGCGCUCUCAGAGUCGAGUUGUUUGGGAUUGCAGCUCUAAUUGGGUGGUAAAUUUCAUCGAAAGCUAAAUAUCGAAGGGAGACCGAUAGCGAACAAGUACCGUGAGGGAAAGAUGAAAGAACUUUGAAAAGAGAGUUAAAAAGUGCUUGAAAUUGCUAAGAGGGAAGCGUUGGAAACCAGUGUCUGCAUUUCAGUUCUUUGGCUUCUGCAUGCUUUGUUUCGGUUUCGCUGUGCGCAAGCCAUCGUCUCCGUCUCUCUGUAUGUCUUUGCUUACUGUGCUGUUUUGCGGUCAGGGUCAGUUGGAUUCGCGGCAGAAAGCCGGUUCGCAGGUAGGCUGUCUCGGCAGCUGUUAUAGCUUUCCGGUCGCUUUUACCGCGGAUUCGACUGAGGUUGUGCAUGGCGCCCCGCUUUGCGGGUUGACUUGGGUUUGCCCGCUGGCUUCUCUUGAUGGGACAGCAAUGCUGUGACGUCUUGCGUGGCUGGUGCUGCUUGUUCUUGUCGAUGCGUAGUGUCGAUCCUGACAAAAUGGUUUUCAGCGACCCGUCUUGAAACACGGACCAAGGAGUCUAACAUACAUGCGAGUAUUUGGGUGGCAAGCCCUGAUGCGCAAUGAAAGUAAGAGGUAGGAAUCCCUUUACCGGGAGGCACUAUCGACCGAUCAUCACUUGUGUUUGAUUUGAGUUGGAGCAUGUCUGUUGGGACCCGAAAGAUGGUGAUCUAUGCCUGAACAGGGUGAAGCCAGGGGAAACCCUGGUGGAGGCUCGUAGCGAUACUGACGUGCAAAUCGUUCGUCUGAUUUGGGUAUAGGGGCGAAAGACUAAUCGAACCAUCUAGUAGCUGGUUCCCUC
rnacentral:misc_RNA from 1 species